UUUCUUCUUUCCCCUCUUGCUUUCCAGCUUUCUUUUAAUCAACACGUAUUUUAAUAAUGAAAAAUAAUCACAUACUUUAAAAUAAUUACUUGAACCUAAACAAAAGGACAGACACCACUCCCUCACUUGGGCAGGAGUUUUAACCUCUGCCCACAGUCACCGUAAGCCGAGCUGUCUUGGGGGUGCUGCCAGUGACCAGCGGCCUGUGUGGGGAUCUGGCUGGAGGAGGGUUCACCAAGAAGGGAGAGCCAGAAGCCUCUUGACUCAACUCAAAAAGUCCAGGGUGACGCCGCGCCCACCAAAGUCGUGUGUGCCUGAGGCUCUGCGGAAUUGAGACUGGGCUGAACCACAGAACAAGAGCUCCAGCAGCUCUCGGGAAACCAGCGUCCAUCUGGAACCCAAACUAAAAAGCACAACUGGACCUCAGGCUGUGAAGAAGGACAAGGGCGCUCAGCACUGAAAUCUGACAUGAGAACAGGAACAAAGCCUGUGGAAACCCGCUUUCUCUCGAGCAAUGACAGCGCGGAUCCACAGGCUCACUCAUGCUCCCCAUCAACUAGCAAAGCUGUGGCACCACACGGGCUGCGGGCACCGGUCCUGCCCAUCACAGGACACCUGGCACCCUCGGGUGGAGGGGCUCAAGGACCACCCUGUCUCCAGAACACCACGCCAGGACGGAGAAGUCCAGGGACGGCAGAACCCGUGUCCUUUGUGGACUGUGUGAUGAGGGAGCCGAAAGAGGCAGCUGAGGCCACCAGACUUGGGAGCCUGCUGGAGGGGCUGGGAUAGCAGGCCCUGGGCCCCUGAUGGAGGGGUGCUGGUGGCUGUGGCCAGGACCUAAGGAACAACCUGGGGUGGCAGCGGGCAGGGACAAGGCUGCUUCUAGGAGGGAGAAGCAGGGGCCCGGCCCACGCCUGCUGCUGCAGCGAAGCCUCCUGCAUGGGCUCACUCAUGCAGGACAGCAGGAGCAGAAGAAGCCCUCACCUGACCCCAUGCCCCUGUCCCCACCCCUCCCUUCCUAUCCCCACCCUCCCCAGGGCCACCCCCUCACCCACACUC
rnacentral:lncRNA from 1 species